AUUGAACGCUGGCGGAAUGCUUUACACAUGCAAGUCGAACGGUAGAGGGGGCAACCCCUCGAGAGUGGCGAACGGGUGAGUAAUAUAUCGGAACGUGCCCAGUCGUGGGGGAUAACGUAGCGAAAGUUACGCUAAUACCGCAUACGAUCUAAGGAUGAAAGCGGGGGACCGUAAGGCCUCGCGCGAUUGGAGCGGCCGAUGUCAGAUUAGCUAGUUGGUGGGGUAAAGGCCUACCAAGGCAACGAUCUGUAGUUGGUCUGAGAGGACGACCAGCCACACUGGGACUGAGACACGGCCCAGACUCCUACGGGAGGCAGCAGUGGGGAAUUUUGGACAAUGGGCGCAAGCCUGAUCCAGCAAUGCCGCGUGCAGGAAGAAGGCCUUCGGGUUGUAAACUGCUUUUGUCAGGGAAGAAAUCCUCUGGGUUAAUACCUCGGGGGGAUGACGGUACCUGAAGAAUAAGCACCGGCUAACUACGUGCCAGCAGCCGCGGUAA
rnacentral:rRNA from 1 species